rnacentral:rRNA from 1 species
UGGGGAAUAUUGGACAAUGGGCGCAAGCCUGAUCCAGCAAUGCCGCGUGAGUGAUGAAGGCCUUCGGGUUGUAAAGCUCUUUCGCCCACGACGAUGAUGACGGUAGUGGGAGAAGAAGCCCCGGCUAACUUCGUGCCAGCAGCCGCGGUAAUACGAAGGGGGCUAGCGUUGUUCGGAAUGACUGGGCGUAAAGGGCGCGUAGGCGGCGCAUCAAGUCGGGCGUGAAAGCCCCGGGCUCAACCUGGGAACUGCGUUCGAGACUGGUGCGCUGGAGUUCGGGAGAGGAGAGUGGAAUUCCCAGUGUAGAGGUGAAAUUCGUAGAUAUUGGGAAGAACACCGAUGGCGAAGGCAGCUCUCUGGACCGAUACUGACGCUGAGGCGCGAAAGCGUGGGGAGCAAACAGG